GGAUUAACGCUGGCGGCGUGCAUGAAACAUGCAAGUCGAGCGCGAUGCGAGCUUGCUCGCAUCUAGCGGCGCACGGGUGAGUAACACGUGAGCAACCUACCUCGGAGCCCGGGAUAGCCCUGAGAAAUCAGGAUUAAUACCGGAUGAUGUCGCCGUGGGGCAUCCCAUGGCGAAGAAAGGCUUCGGCCACUCCAAGACGGGCUCGCGGCCUAUUAGCUUGUUGGUGGGGUAA
rnacentral:rRNA from 1 species